CAGUCUGAUCAGCCAUGCCGCGUGCAGGAUGACGGUCCUAUGGAUUGUAAACUGCUUUUGUACGAAAAAAAACAACAUUACGUGUAAUGUCUUGACGGUAUCGUAAGAAUAAGGAUCGGCUAACUCCGUGCCAUCACCCGCGGUAAUACGGAGGAUCCAAGCGUUAUCCGGAAUCAUUGGGUUUAAAGGGUCCGUAGGCGGUUUAGUAAGUCAGUGGUGAAAGCCCAUCGCUCAACGGUGGAACGGCCAUUGAUACUGCUGAACUUGAAUUAUUAGGAAGUAACUAGAAUAUGUAUUGUAGCGGUGAAAUGCUUAGAGAUUACAUGGAAUACCAAUUGCAAAGGCAGGUUACUACUAAGGGAUUGACGCUAAUGGACGAAAGCGUGGGUAGCGAACAGGAUUAGAUACCCUGGUAGUCCACGCCGUAAACGAUGGAUACUAGCUGUUGGGGGCAACUUCAGUGGCUAAGCGAAAGUGAUAAGUAUCCCACCUGGGGAGUACGUUCGCAAGAAUGAAACUCAUAGGAAUUGACGGGGGCCCGCACAAGCGGUGGAGCAUGUGGUUUAAUUCGAUGAUACGCGAGGAACCUUACCAAGGCUUAAAUGUAGAUUGACCGAUUUGGAAACAGAU
rnacentral:rRNA from 1 species